CAUGAUGGAGUUUCCGUGAGCGGUCAGCGGCUGACGUUACUACACGAUUAGUUGCUAGUGUUUACUCUUUUAUUGCUUAGUUGCUGGUCAGUUUGUGAGGCAGAGUGCUCGGAAUGUGGACGUGGAAAAGUCUUGCACGGUGCAUAAACACGGCUACAUCACUCGGCGAAGAACCACUCAUCUAAUUCCUUGAGCAUCAACAGAAACUGAGUUCUUCAUCAGAUGGAGCAUCUAAAGGCAGCCUUGCAUUCCUUCACUGGGAGAUCCAAACCACACUGAGAGUCGUAUGAAGUUAUGGCGGUAGACAGAUGCAGAUUCCUUUUCUUCUAAAUAUUUUUUAAGGACAACAACUUAAAUUUAGCAUCAGGUUAAAGCAGUAUUGGGAGAUUUGGUGACCUAACUUGGUUAACAAGCUCUUUGUACUGUACCAUUUAUAAGUCCCAACUUAACCCUUGGGGCAUUGUGAUGUGGUCCUAGGUGCACUGACUGCAGUAGAGUGUAUGGAUGAUGGGAAACAAUCAUUUUUUGAAGGGCAUGCACAUUUGCACCUUUUCAAAACUAAAUGUUUAUCAGCAUCAUUUUUUGACCUUCCCAACUGAAUAAGAAAUGUCCUCAACAUACUGGGCAUUUUUACUGGGAAAUGUCUGCACUUUCACCUUGUCAUAGCACACAUGUAUGUUGUCAGCACACAAAUUUUACAAAGGUAGGCCCAGUAAAUCAAUAUUUCUAAGUGUUUUGGUGCAGUUAAAGUGACAGUUACAGUAUUUGAACUGUCACAGUGUUAAUUAUUGACUACUUAUGUAGAAUUUCUUUGUACAUGUAUAAG